CCUAAUAUCUCACCUAAACCUCCCUUAGCGUAACCUGAGGCCAUUACCUCUCAUCCUAUUGCUGUUACCUGGGAGAAGAGGCCAUACAGGAUACGUGGACAUAAGGACACUGAGCUCCUGCAUGACCAGAAACCCGGGGCUGAUGAGAUCCCAAUACAAAACUCGCUUUUUGUGCCAUGUAUUCAUAACACGUAAGCAGUGACUACAAAGACCAGAGUGUGAGUUACCAGCUGAGACUUUUGGACCUGGGAUAACAAGCUGCAAACCUCUUCAACUGCCUCACGCGUCAAAAGACUCUCCAUCUGUCAUUAAUAUGCAUCAAAGAUAAGGAUGCCUGUGGGUCAGGAUGAGCAGAAAAACAGUCCUACUCUGCAACAGAGAAUUCAAGGAGCCCAGGGACCUAACCCAAAUCUGGAGGGAGAGUUUUAGAAAAGCAUUUAAGUGGCAGGUUCCAGUGCAAGUCAGAACCAUGCUUGUAAAUCAACAAGAUCCUUUAAAAAUCCCACCGUGUCACCUGCCCUCAGCAUCUAGAGUGGUUGUUUAUUUUGCAGACAUCUUCACAAUUCCAUUCUCAAGAUUAUAAUUCACUUGGUGGUACCGCAGUUCUCGCACCCUUGAAGUUAAGUAAAUGGUUAAGUGCAGUGGUGGUUCAGAGCUAGAAGACUCUCUACCUUGCAGGAUUGAGCCCUUUAAUCUAUUCUUAUUUCCUUUUCAAUUUCUGCAAGUAACCCCAAGCAAGCUGGAAACACUAAGUGCAAAGUUACGGGAGAUGACUGUGGCAAUUUCUGAAUGACAAGAGCAUUUAAAAGAAAUGUCAAGAGUCUGUGGGCUGCAAGCUUUUAUGUUUCAAGGAGAAACAAAAAGAAAGGAGGGACAAUAAAUCAAACACAACAGCUUAGCGUGCUCCAUCUCUCAGAGUUAACCUCUUGAAAGCCAUGUCCCCAGCACAGAGUGGGCCACACUCUUUGAUAGGGUCCAUUAUUCUCUGUAGAGCAAUAGAGGUGGUAUGGUGGGCUCCUCCGUGCGUGCCCAGGGGCUGUGUACACUGCGCCUUGCUUAACAUGUGCUCUGCAUUUAUGGGUUAACAUCAAACAUGAGCUGAUUUAUAAUUCUUAAUCAAA
ensembl:lncRNA